rnacentral:rRNA from 1 species
AGUGAACGCUGGCGGUAGGCCUAACACAUGCAAGUCGAACGGCAGCACAGUAAGAGCUUGCUCUUACGGGUGGCGAGUGGCGGACGGGUGAGGAAUACAUCGGAAUCUACUUUUUCGUGGGGGAUAGCGUAGGGAAACUUACGCUAAUACCGCAUACGACCUACGGGUGAAAGCAGGGGAUCUUCGGACCUUGCGCGAUUGAAUGAGCCGAUGUCGGAUUAGCUAGUUGGCGGGGUAAAGGCCCACCAAGGCGACGAUCCGUAGCUGGUCUGAGAGGAUGAUCAGCCACACUGGAACUGAGACACGGUCCAGACUCCUACGGGAGGCAGCAGUGGGGAAUAUUGGACAAUGGGCGCAAGCCCGAUCCAGCCAUACCGCGUGGGUGAAGAAGGCCUUCGGGUUGUAAAGCCCUUUUGUUGGGAAAGAAAAGCAGCAGGUUAAUACCCCGCUGUUCUGACGGUACCCAAAGAAUAAGCACCGGCUAACUUCGUG